rnacentral:rRNA from 1 species
GGGAGAGUAAUACGUAGAAAUCUACCCUCGGGUCUGGGAUAGCGUCGGGAAACUGGCGGUAAUACCGGAUAACGUCUUCGGACCAAAGGUGUGACUCCACCUGAGGAUGAGUCUACGUCCUAUUAGCUUGUUGGCGGGGUAAUGGCCCACCAAGGCAAUGAUGGGUACCGGGUGUGAGAGCAUGACCCGGCUCACUGGGACUGAGACACUGCCCAGACACCUACGGGUGGCUGCAGUCGAGAAUCUUUGUCAAUGGACGAAAGUCUGAACAAGCGACGCCGCGUGCGGGAUGAAGGCCCUCGGGUUGUAAACCGCUGUCGUAGGGGAACAAAUUCAUUGGGGUACUCCCCUUUGAUUGAGUGAUCCUAGGAGGAAGGACGGGCUAAGUUCGUGCCAGCAGCCGCGGUAAGACGAACCGUCCAAACGUUAUUCGGUAUCACUGGGCUUAAAGAGUUCGUAGGCGGCCAAGCAGGUCAGGUGUGAAAUCCCACAGCUCAACUGUGGAACUGCGCUUGAAACCGCAUGGCUUGAGGGAGAUAGAGGUGAGCGGAACAGAU